AUCGUUGUCAUCAGUGCACUGGUUUCUGUCUCAUACACACCACUCAUAGCCCCAAGCAUGGAUGUGCAAGAAUAAACUAUUGAAAGAGCUUUUGUGCGCAAAUAGUUGUCAUAUAUCUGAGGGGAAGAUACAAUUGUGUGCAAGCAUGGAAACAAAACAGGGACUAGUGUUGGCACCAUUGUAUCAUCCAAGUCUCCAGAAAGAAGAGCCAAGCACCUUAGAGCUCCAUGUACUCUAUUCAUAUUGGUUUGAUCAGUAAUCAACUUCAAAAGGGAAGGCAAUAGGUCAGGCCAACCCUCAGGCCAGUCAUACAGAGCAACUGAUGCUAUAGCCAUACUAAUUGCUGUGCAGAUUUUUCUGUAAGAAUCAUCCAAUGAAGCUAAAAGAAGU
rnacentral:misc_RNA from 1 species